rnacentral:sRNA from 1 species
UGCGUUUCCACCGCGCUCCUCAGCAGCUCC